AAAUGGAUACUUUCCCAUGAUGCACCUGUUCUCACUGCAGGUCCUCCAGUGGUCUAUGAGUACCUGACUACUAUCGAGCUGCAAACCACAAAUGUUACAGUGAUAGAGGAACUGAGGAUUAUCCUGGAUAACAUCAGCUACCCCUUCCCCAUCGACAGCAACAUACUGAUCUCGGAGGUCAACAUCACCACAGUUUGCUCUCCAUUCGGGGCUGGGUUCCAAUGCACAUGUGAGGAUCCGUAUCGCUGGCCAUGUGACAAGUGUCUUCUGCAUGGGUCAUGUGACAACAUCACUGAUGAGACGUGUGGAUGCAUCAAUGCCCUUCCUCCUGAUGAAGAAUACUGCCAGCUCUCCCAACAAAUCCCACUCAAUCGCACUUUUUGUCCUUUACCCCCCUCUUCUCCACCCUCCUCCACCCCCUCUCCUCCACCCUCCUCCACCCCC